CCCUUAGAUGUUCUGGGCCGCACGCGUGCUACACUGAGUGGAUCAGCGGGUUAGGUUGCGCGAAAGUGUUUCCUAAUCUUUAAAUCCGCUCGUGAUGGGGAUUGACGGUUGCAAUUUUCCGUCAUGAACGAGGAAUACCUUGUAAGCGCGGGUCAUCAUCCCGCGCUGAAUACGUCCCUGCCCUUUGUACACACCGCCCGUCGCUCCUACCGAUUGAGUGGUCCGGUGAGGCUUUGGGAUCUGAGCGGAAAGAGCGUUUCGCUGUUUCUGCCCGGAAAACUCAGUCGAACCUUAUCAUUUAGAGGAAGGAGAAGUCGUAACA
rnacentral:rRNA from 1 species